CUUGAUUUUAUCCAAACUCCUGGGGACUGGUGCUGCAGCCCACUGAUCACAUUCUUGGCUAUCUCGAAUGUGUUUUCUAUUUCAUGUCUCCUCAGGUAUCUCCUACAGCUACUUGUGUGGUGUUUGAAUAUUGGCCUUCCAACAUUUCUUGUUGAAUUAUUUCAGGCUCACCUUGGUCAUAAUGAGUGGACCUGGCUUUACCCAGGGCUUCAGCCUUUGGCAUUUCACAUGAGGAAUACCACUGAGCUGGGGGUCAAGAGGCCUGACUUUUAAUCUUGGCUCUGCCCCAGACAAGUGUGAACUUGGGAAAGAACACUGAGGGCCAGGAAAUGUCGAGUGACCUGUCCAUACUCACACAGCGUGGAGGAAUCAGAGACCAUGGGGUCAGGACCUAUGGGCUUAGGAUAUACCGGAAGAGGCCUGAUUUCCAGUUGAGCAUUUGCCAAAAAUCAGCAGUGUGACUUGGGCAAGUCAUUUUCUCUACUGAUUAAAGUGAAUUAACAGAACACAA